rnacentral:ncRNA from 1 species
CGGCCUGAGGUCGGACGAGGCUACCCGCUGAAUUUAAGCAUAUUACUAAGCGGAGGAAAAGAAACUAACGAGGAUUCCCUCAGUAACGGCGAGCGGGAAGCGGGACGAGCCCAGCGCCGAAUCCGGCCGCUUAUGGGAGCGGACGGAAUUGUGGCG